AACGCACCUUGCGCCCCUUGGCAUUCCGAAGGGCACACCCGUUUGAGUGUCGUGAAAUCCUCAACCUUCUCCCUUUCUUGUUGAAUUGGGGGGAAAGGCUUGGACUUUGGAGGUAUCAUUUUUUGCUGGCCUCUUUCCACUUGAAGCCAGCUCCUCUUAAAGGAAUUAGUGGGAUCCCCUUUGCCGAUCCUUGACGUGAUAAGCUUUUGCAACCUCGUCUCGAGAGGUAGAGAAACCCUGCUUCUAAAUUGUCUCGUUUGAGACACGGGUGGUUUUGAAAGGUUUGCCCCUUUGACCCACCAAACCCCUUUUGACCUCAAAUCGGGUGAGACUACCCGCUGAACUUAA
rnacentral:misc_RNA from 1 species